rnacentral:misc_RNA from 1 species
GAUGAAGAGCGUAGCGAAAUGCGAUAAGUAAUGCGAAUUGCAGAAUUCAGUGAGUCAUCGAAUCUUUGAACGCACAUUGCGCCCUGUGGUAUUCCGCAGGGCAUGCCUGUUCGAGCGUCAUUUCAACCCUCAAGCCUCGCUUGGUGUUGGGCCCUGCCCGCCGCGGCCGGCCCUAAAGAUAGUGGCGGCGCCGCCUGGCCCUCAGCGUAGUACAGCUCUCGCUCCAGGGUCCGGCGGCAGCCUGCCAGAACCCCCCAACUCUGUGGUUGACCUCGGAUCAGGUAGGGAUACCCGCUGAACUUAAGCAUAUCAAUAAGCGGAGGA